UACGGAAGGCAGCAGUAGGGAAUCUUCCGCAAUGGACGAAAGUCUGACGGAGCAACGCCGCGUGAACGAUGAAGGCUUUCGGGUCGUAAAGUUCUGUUGUUAGGGAAGAACAAGUACCGGAGUAACUGCCGGUACCUUGACGGUACCUAACCAGAAAGCCACGGCUAACUACGUGCCAGCAGCCGCGGUAAUACGUAGGUGGCAAGCGUUGUCCGGAAUUAUUGGGCGUAAAGCGCGCGCAGGCGGUCCUUUAAGUCUGAUGUGAAAGCCCACGGCUCAACCGUGGAGGGUCAUUGGAAACUGGGGGACUUGAGUGCAGAAGAGGAGAGUGGAAUUCCACGUGUAGCGGUGAAAUGCGUAGAGAUGUGGAGGAACACCAGUGGCGAAGGCGACUCUCUGGUCUGUAACUGACGCUGAGGCGCGAAAGCGUGGGGAGCGAACAGGGAUUAGAUACCCGU
rnacentral:rRNA from 1 species